rnacentral:rRNA from 1 species
GACGAACGCUGGCGGCGUGCUUAACACAUGCAAGUCGAACGGAAAGGCCCUGCUUUUGUGGGGUGCUCGAGUGGCGAACGGGUGAGUAAAACGUGAGUAACCUGCCCUUGACUUUGGGAUAACUUCAGGAAACUGGGGCUAAUACCGGAUAGGAGCUCCUGCUGCAUGGUGGGGGUUGGAAAGUUUCGGCGGUUGGGGAUGGACUCGCGGCUUAUCAGCUUGUUGGUGGGGUAGUGGCUUACGAAGGCUUUGACGGGUAGCCGGCCUGAGAGGGUGACCGGCCACACUGGGACUGAGAUACGGCGCAGACGCGGACGGGAGGCAGCAGUGGGGAAUAUUGCGCAGUGGGCGGAAGCCUGAUGCGACAACGCCGCGUGCGUGAUGACGGCCUUCGGGUUGUGAACCGCUUUCGCCUGGUACGAGGCUGGAUUGACGGUAAUGGGUAAAGAAGCACCGGCUAACUACGUG